rnacentral:rRNA from 1 species
GUAGAGGUAAGCUUGCUUCCUUGAGACCGGCGCACGGGUGCGUAACGCGUAUGCAAUCUACCUUUUACAGGGGAAUAGCCCAGAGAAAUUUGGAUUAAUGCCCCAUAGUAUAAUUUAUUCGCAUGAGUAGAUUAUUAAAGUACCAACGGUAAAAGAUGAGCAUGCGUCCCAUUAGCUAGAUGGUAAGGUAACGGCUUACCAUGGCGACGAUGGGUAGGGGUCCUGAGAGGGAGAUCCCCCACACUGGUACUGAGACACGGACCAGACUCCUACGGGAGGCAGCAGUGAGGAAUAUUGGUCAAUGGACGCAAGUCUGAACCAGCCAUGCCGCGUGCAGGAUGACGGUCCUAUGGAUUGUAAACUGCUUUUGUACGAGAAGAAACACUCCGACGUGUCGGAGCUUGACGGUAUCGUAAGAAUAAGGAUCGGCUAACUCCGUGCCAGCAGCCGCGGUAAUACGGAGGAUCCAAGCGUUAUCCGGAAUCAUUGGGUUUAAAGGGUCCGUAGGCGGUUUAGUAAGUCAGUGGUGAAAGCCCAUCGCUCAACGGUGGAACGGCCAUUGAUACUGCUGAACUUGAAUUAUUAGGAAGUAACUAGAAUAUGUAGUGUAGCGGUGAAAUGCUUAGAGAUUACAUGGAAUACCAAUUGCGAAGGCAGGUUACUACUAAUGGAUUGACGCUGAUGGACGAAAGCGUGGGUAGCGAACAGGAUUAGAUACCCUGGUAGUCCACGCCGUAAACGAUGGAUACUAGCUGUUGGGAGCAAUUUCAGUGGCUAAGCGAAAGUGAUAAGUAUCCCACCUGGGGGAGUACGUUCGCAAGANUGAACUCAAGGAAUUGACGGGGGCCNC